rnacentral:rRNA from 1 species
UACAGAGGGUGCAAGCGUUAAUCGGAAUUACUGGGCGUAAAGCGUGCGUAGACGGUAGCGUAAGUCGGGUGUGAAAGCCCCGGGCUCAACCUGGGAAUUGCAUUCGAGACUGCUCUGCUAGGGUGCGGAAGAGGGAAGCGGAAUUUCCGGUGUAGCGGUGAAAUGCGUAGAUAUCGGAAGGAACACCAGUGGCGAAAGCGGCUUCCUGGUCCAGCACCGACGUCAGGCACGAAAGCGUGGGGAGCAAACAG